GUGCCUAAUACAUGCAAGUAGAACGCUGAAGACUUUAGCUUGCUAAAGUUGGAAGAGUUGCGAACGGGUGAGUAACGCGUAGGUAACCUGCCUACUAGCGGGGGAUAACUAUUGGAAACGAUAGCUAAUACCGCAUAACAGCAUUUAACACAUGUUAGAUGCUUGAAAGGAGCAAUUGCUUCACUAGUAGAUGGACCUGCGUUGUAUUAGCUAGUUGGUGAGGUAACGGCUCACCAAGGCGACGAUACAUAGCCGACCUGAGAGGGUGAUCGGCCACACUGGGACUGAGACACGGCCCAGACUCCUACGGGAGGCAGCAGUAGGGAAUCUUCGGCAAUGGGGGCAACCCUGACCGAGCAACGCCGCGUGAGUGAAGAAGGUUUUCGGAUCGUAAAGCUCUGUUGUAAGAGAAGAACGUGUGUGAGAGUGGAAAGUUCACACAGUGACGGUAACUUACCAGAAAGGGACGGCUAACUACGUGCCAGCAGCCGCGGUAAUACGUAGGUCCCGAGCGUUGUCCGGAUUUAUUGGGCGUAAAGCGAGCGCAGGCGGUUUAAUAAGUCUGAAGUUAAAGGCAGUGGCUUAACCAUUGUUCGCUUUGGAAACUGUUAGACUUGAGUGCAGAAGGGGAGAGUGGAAUCCAUGUGUAGCGGUGAAAUGC
rnacentral:rRNA from 1 species